CAAGUCGUACGGGGGAUCUUUGGAGCUUGCUUUGGAGAUUCCUAGUGGCGCACGGGUGAGUAACACGUGAGUUACAUGCCCCGCAGAGGGGGAUAGCCCGCCGAAAGGCGGAUUAAUACCCCAUGGUAUCGCAAGAUUAAAGAGGGCUUCGGCUCUCGCUGCGGGAUUGGCUCGCGUCCUAUCAGCUUGUUGGUGAGGUAACGGCUCACCAAGGCGACGACGGGUAGCUGGUCUGAGAGGACGAUCAGUCACACUGGAACUGAGACACGGUCCAGACACCUACGGGUGGCAGCAGUCGAGAAUAAUUCACAAUGGACGAAAGUCUGAUGGUGCAACGCCGCGUGGAGGAUGAAGGUCUUCGGAUUGUAAACUCCUGUCAUCGGGGAGUAAGACCUGGCUGUGAAUAGCAGACAGGGUUGAUAGUACCCGAAGAGGAAGGGACGGCUAACUUCGUGCCAGCAGCCGCGGUAAUACGAAGGUCCCGAGCGUUGUUCGGAAUCACUGGGCGUAAAGGGAGCGUAGGCGGUUUGGUAAGUCAGAUGUGAAAUCCCGGGGCUCAACCCCGGAACUGCAUCCGAUACUGCCGGACUUGAGUAAUGGAGGGGUAGCUGGAAUUCUCGGUGUAGCAGUGAAAUGCGUGGAUAUCGAGAGGAACACUCGUGGCGAAGGCGAGCUACUGGACAUUUACUGACGCUGAGGCUCGAAGGCCAGGGUAGCGAAAGGGAUUAGAUACCCCUGUAGUCCUGGCAGUAAACGGUGUGCGCUUGGUGUGAGGGGUUUCGACCCCCCUUGUGCCGGAGCUAACGCGUUAAGCGCACCGCCUGGGAAGUACGGUCGCAAGACUAAAACUCAAAGAAAUUGACGGGGACCCGCACAAGCGGUGGAGUAUGUGGCUUAAUUCGAUGCAACGCGAAGAACCUUACCUGGGCUUGACAUGCAUUGCUAAUCC
rnacentral:rRNA from 1 species